AACGAACGCUGGCGGCAUGCCUAACACAUGCAAGUCGAACGAAGCCUUCGGGCUUAGUGGCGCACGGGUGCGUAACGCGUGGGAAUCUGCCCUUGGGUUCGGAAUAACAGUUAGAAAUGACUGCUAAUACCGAAUGAUGUCUUCGGACCAAAGAUUUAUCGCCCAAGGGUGAGCCCGCGUCGGAUUAGCUAGUUGGUGAGGUAAAGGCUCACCAAGGCGACGAUCCGUAGCUGGUCUGAGAGGAUGAUCAGCCACACUGGGACUGAGACACGGCCCAGACUCCUACGGGAGGCAGCAGUGGGGAAUAUUGGACAAUGGCGAAAGCCUGAUCCAGCAAUGCCGCGUGAGUGAUGAAGGCCUUAGGGUUGUAAAGCUCUUUUACCCGGGAUGAUAAUGACAGUACCGGGAGAAUAAGCCCCGGCCUAACUCCGUGCCAGCAGCCGCC
rnacentral:rRNA from 1 species